CCUUUUCAUAGCUGAAUAACACACGGAAAUAUAACCAGUUGCUAAUCACCCCUUUGAAUGGGGGGCUGUUACUGAAGGAAAAGGCAGAGACAAGGAAAACAUUUCUUUUGCUGUGUUUGGCAUUUCUUGGGCCAGGCCAUGUUUUCAUUUAAGGAUGGACAUUUUUUCUUCAUGAAGCAUGUGACAAAGUAAUAUGACAUGGUGGUAACUGUUCAUGAGCAAGAGGUAAGUCCCUUUUGAUUACAGAGCAAUAAGACAAAGGAAGAAAUAUUACAAGACUCAGGAAAAGCUGAAGGCAAUAAAUGACUGAGAACAGCUUGUUCAAAGGCACUGCAAUGGAUGCAGAUGCUUUUUCACUAGUGUAAUCCAUCCUAAAAACCUUAUUUUCUUACUCAUCAUUUAACCUUAAUAUUGGUUUUACUUCACCAAACACCAGCUAGGACCUUCUGUCUUAGGUUUAACAAGUUAGGGACAGUGUCCAAAACCUGAUGGAGCUCAACUAGAUCUGAAAGGUGAGUUUAAAAACAGAGGGCAUAAAGAUGUGGGUGACUGAAACUGAAAUCAGACAGCUUAUAAGGCAGAGAUGAGCUGGGCUCUCUGCCUGCUUCUCCCCUUUGGCCCCAUAAGGGAAUAGGGUGUAGCACAACUGGCAGGUGGAUGGCCUGAGGCACUCAUGGCUCAAACCUAGUUCUGGGUGCUAAAUCAGACACCUCCAGAUACUUUGCAUCUGGCCUACUUUUUGGCAGCUCUACCAAACCAGUUUUUUCCUUUAUUUGUCACAUGGCAAGUUUCUUUAUGUGAGUUCAGUUCCAAUUCAAACAGGAACAAGUUUCAAUGUUCAGACUCUUACAUUGUCAAACUCUCAGGGACAGAUGAAUGAGCCAAAAAAUGAUCAAAAAAAGUGUAGAAUAUUGAAAACAGCAUGAGAUCCAGACUGUUUUGUAAGUGAUCCCAUGUGGUUAAGUAUAUCACAUACAUGUUCCUGUGCUGAAAGGAAAUUUCUGCUUUAAAGAAAAUUUUGCAGAAAUGCUUUGUUCAGGACAGGGAUGUGACAAAAUUACUUUAUUUUUACACUCUUAUCCAGCUCAGUAGACUUGCUUUUCAUUGCAAACUAUUUCUUUAACACUAAAAGUUAUUUUUCUCUUUUAUUUGCUGUACAGAAGAGCAGUUCUGUGGUUUUCCUGAACUAUAUGAAUGCAUUGAGUCAUUUCUGACUCUGAUGAAGUAUGAAGGUAAUGUGUGAAGAAGCAGCAUACUUAAUAGAAAUUCAUCCUUGCUAUGAAUGAUUCAUGAAGGCUCUCUUCUAGAAUAAAAAUAUGAAGCUACUUUAAAGCCUCUACUUAAUACUAGACGAGGCUUCAAAUUCAACCUCCUUCUUUCAAACCUAAAACCACCUCUGCUUACUGGGAUUCUGGAUUCUGUCUGAACUGAGCCAGCAGAGUUCAACAAAUGGAAUAAUUUUCAGCUGAAUGAGAACCCAUGUCCUGCUAUGGUUGUAAAUUAUUACUGUCUCUGCACUUUUGAAGAUCGGUGUACCCAUUAGAAAAUCCAGAGCUGCUCGGACUGACACAUGACUUGGGGAGAGAAUAACCACACACCUGGGGUCAGAGUGAGCCAAGCUGCCUAAAGUUUCCACAGAGGGGACAGAGGUCCCUUCCCCCUUGCAGUUCCCUGCUGAUAGCAGGCACAUGUAGGCAGAGUCUGCCUGUGCUGGCCCCAGAGCCGCCCAGAAGGGGCUCUGCGAAUCUGCUUCUCCCACUCCCAAUCACAGGACAUGGGACCUACCAGGAUUUCAGCACCAAACUGGCUUAUUCUGUGUGGUUUGGCAAAACAGUGAGAAUAUAUAGGGUGAGACUACUCUUGAUCUUGCUAUCUAGACUUCUUUCCAUGUCUCCCUUGGAAAGUUUGGUUGUCAGACAGGAAAGCAGCUGUGCUUUGCCUGCAUUGUUUGGCAUUCACCUUUGCCACAGUUUUGUUGCCACUGUUUGUCCAAAGGAAAGGUAAAGCAAUGUUAACAUCCUGUCUGGAAGAAUAAAAAUAGGGAAUAAAAUGCCUGGGUUUGUUGAGAGAUGCUUCAGAAAGCAUUUGCCUGUUACUUGUGAUGCUACACCAGAAUUCCUUUAGAAUCUCCACAGCCAAAGCAUUUCAGUGUCAGAAGACCCAAAGAGGUGCCAAACUGAGGCACAUCUUCCUUCUUUCCUGCUCACUGUGGUUACAGGAACUUCAACCCUUUCAUUAGCUGUUUAAUUGUCCUGCAAAGGCCUUGAGUCAAUAUUUUUAUUUCCUGAUUUUACCUGCCAGUGGUGAACAAUCUGCCCCUCUUUUCAGAACUUCUAACUAAAUUUAACAGGCAGGACAAGGAGGAGCACUCCCAUGCCUGCUGGACUGGAAAAUUGUAAGUAUAUUUAACAAUUUUAGGUAUGCAUGAAGACCUUGAAAACAACCACUUUAUUCUGAAUAGGACUACUGUCCUGGAAAGAAAUGUUAUGUUGUGAAGUAAAAAAGUCUGGAUUAUACAGAAAAUCUGUAAAGACAAGGAUGCUGCAGCUCCAUAGAUAGACUAAAAGACAACAAUUAAUUUGCUGAGGUAUUAAAAUGAAUACUGGGAGAGUAUCUUCCAUUUUGUAGAUUCUAUAGUGUAAAAUAAAUUGGUUCUUAACUGCUGGCCAAUGACAGCUGGAGUUAAGUGAGGAGGGUUUUAAUUCUAUCUUUUAUUCUCUUUCAUAUAACCCAGAAAAAGUUGAUCUGAUUCAAAAAGCCCUGAUUCAUUUCAGAAGUCCCAUCAAUUCCCAUGUGAAGAGAUCUUCACUUAGGAUGAUCAUCCCUCAAAACUUCACAAUACAAAAAAUACAAUGCAGCAGAGCCAUAUCUAACUGCCAUGCACUCCAUGUGAUGUCCAGGAAAUAUCCACCCAUUUGCAUUUAGACUUUCUGACAGGGUCUGUGAAAAGGCAAGUUAAUACAAAGUUGACAUCCUGUCUGGAACAAUAUAUUUUAGGUAGUGUUAGUUUCAUUUGAUGCAAAACCAAAACAAACUGCAGAUCUUUUCCUUAAACCUCAUAGUACAAAAAUUAAGUGGGGAAAAAAAUUCUGGGGGAGGCAUGCUGACAUUGUUAUUAGUGCAGAAUGGGAAAGAAAAAAUGCUAGAAUGUCCUGAUUCAACACUCCUAUUGAAAAAAAAUUGUGGGUUUUUUUGGUUCAGGGUUUUUUUUUUUUUUUUUUGGAAACUCAGCCUUUUAGAAAUACUGCAGAAAACAG